CCCGGGCGCUCCGCCUCGGCCGCGCACACACCCUCGCGCGCACGCCCGCGCCCGGCACACGCCCGCGGCUGGCACACGCUGGCUCCCCCGCGCACCCUCACUGGGGCUGGCCGGCUCGGGGCCGCUCGCACUGUCACGCGCCUACACACAUCACCCCCGCACCCGCAUGCCGGGCAGGGUCCUCGCCUCUUCGCCCCGCGCCGCGCCACGCAGCCAAGCAUCGUCUGCCCGGCUGGGGCGCAGGUACCGGGGGCGGUGGGGGGAGGAGAGAGAGAGGGAGCAGCCAUUUGAACUCGGAGUGGGAGAACAGAAUGUAAGCUCCCUGAGGGCAGAGUGCAUGUCAAUCUUGUUAAGCCCUACACCUACAGAGAUGCAGCAGAAGGGGAAGUUGGAGAGAUUCAAAGCACGCAGGGGACUUGCUCCCUCAUUGCUGGAGGGGUCCACAGGGACAGCGUGAGAAGGAAUGCAUGCAGCCUCUAAGAACCAAGACAGAGCCUCAGCUGACAGCCAGCCAGGAAGCAGGGAUCUCAGUCCUACUCCCGCAAGGAACUGAAUUCAGCAACAACCUGAAGGAACUUGGACUUGGAUCCAUCCCCAGAACCUCCAGAAAGAAUCACAGCCCUGUCACACCUUGAUCUCAGCCUUGUGAAACUCCAAGCGGAGAACCCAGCUGAGCCAUGCUGUCCCUGUCCUUCUUGUAUUAGUCAGCUUUUGCCACGUAAUGAACAACUACAAAUAUGGGGCAAACUGCAAUGAGCAUUAUUUUCUUGUCCAUUGGUUUCCAGUGUCAGCUGGGGCCAGCUGAUUUGGCUGGAUUUUGCUGGGCUUGGCGGCAAGCUUGAGUUGAGUCCUGAUCCACUUUUUAUGUCCCCCCGUCCUGCUUGGGCCAGCAGCUGCCUGAAGCAUAUUCUUUUCAUGGCAAAAGGUUGGAGCGGAAGAGCGCAGGCCAACUGCGGCACAGCUCAAGCCUCAGCUUCUGUCACAUCCGGUGAUAUCCCAUUGGCCAAAGCAAACUACACGGCCAGGCCCAGCAUCCCCAGGGCAGAGAGCUGCACGCCUCCGGGGAGGCAUGUAGGAAGAGAAUACUGGUUGAACAACAGUCACACUUCUGAAGUAUAUUUUACAUGCAUAGUUGGUACGUUUGGCAAGGAGCAAAGAGAGUAAUAGCAGUAGCAAUAAAUGUGUUUCUCCAGUAAUAUUUGCCAUAACUAUUGAAUCAUUUGAGAGGCAAAGUAUAGCAUGAAUCAACAAUGGUUUGAAUCCUUUUCCAGCACUUACGAGCUCUGUGACCUUGGUCAACUAGCUUCAUCUCCCUGAGAGUCAGUUUUCUCAUCUGUAAGAUGGAAAUGAUAAUGGUACUUGUCUCUCAGGACUGUUGUGGGGACAAAAUGAGAUGAUGGAGAUGGAGUUCUUAGCACGGUGCCUGGCAUAUAGUCAGCACUCAGAAACGUAUUCACCCUGCACCCCUCUCUAGCUGCCCUGCCUCGUACGUGCUUACACGCUCACUACAAUGACGGUAAAGAACCAGACAGGUGUGCCUGGAGAUGAUAUGCUUGUGUGCAGAUCCAACAAGGCAAUACUGGAGGGUAACCUGUGGUGUGUGUGUGUCAUACGCUGCUCUCGAAUCCACCCCGCCCCCACCCCCAUGGGCUCUCACAGUGAUUACAAGGGAUUCUGAAGAAUUCACUGAAACAUGUUACAAGCCUUGAUUACAAAGAAAAAGUGAUUUUCCUAAAGUGGAUCUUCCAUCUACCGGAAAUAGCCAGGCCCCAUUAACAAGGGAGAUAAGCAGUGCUGCAGAGAAACUCCUGGAACUCUGCAAACUCUUCAGCACAAAGUGUACUCCUUCCCCCCACGCCCCCACCAAGCCUGAUUGACAAGGCUCAACAAAACCUCAAGAAAACCCAUCCAAUGAGUCAGCUGUGCCCAGGCCUAGCUGCGAUUGCAGGAGCCUGCGGAACAGCCUUGGAAAUGGACAAUAAAUGGCGCCUUUUUAUUUAUGAGCACUUUCCAUUACGGGCAUAAUGCCCCCAUUCUUUCCCCAGUUUGUAUAUAAACAUCUCAAAAUAGGAUUAUUUUAAAAGGACCUUGGGACACAAUACUUCUGUUUGAGAGAGCGGCUAAGGCUCGCUCAUGCUAGCGUGCGCUGGGCUGCUGCUUGCUCGCCCCCUUUCCAAGAGCACUCAGCCGUCAUUCCAGGCAGAGAAAAGAACUUGUUCAGAAGCCCAUUUGGCCUGGCAGCUUCAAAGUUGCUUGCCACUCAUGGGUCACAUGGCCAGUCCUAUGAUUAGCAAUUUGGGGACCCAUGGCCGCUUCGUCCAUAAUAAUGACUCGCCUUUGCAGGAAGUCACAUUUUUCCAAAGUUCUGGUCACUGGAUUUAAGCUCGUUUAAUCCCAACACACUUGAGUCAGUUGGUAGCAUUCUUCAGCUGGGAAAGCUUAGUCCCUGAAAUAUUAAAUACCUUAACCACCGCCCAAAGAACUGGCAGAGAAGAAGCUUGAAGCCGGUUCUCGGACCUCAGGCCCAGCACUCAUCUGCUCCCUGAUCGGUGACUGCCCCAGUGGGAAGAGCGGCUGCACGCACCAGACUCAGAAUCAAGUGCUACCAGCCCAGAGCAGGACUUCCAGAACGUUCCUUCCUCUCUCUGGGCCUCCAUUUCUUUGUGCGUUUUCUUAGUUUGGGCUGCCCCCAGAAGCAGAGUUUGAGUCAAGGAUUUGAGUACAAGUCAUUUAUUUGGGAAGUGAAG
rnacentral:lncRNA from 1 species